AACGCUGGCGGCGUGCCUAAUACAUGCAAGUCGAACGAACUCUGGUAUUGAUUGGUGCUUGCAUCAUGAUUUACAUUUGAGUGAGUGGCGAACUGGUGAGUAACACGUGGGAAACCUGCCCAGAAGCGGGGGAUAACACCUGGAAACAGAUGCUAAUACCGCAUAACAACUUGGACCGCAUGGUCGAGCUUGAAAGAUGGCUUCGGCUAUCACUUUUGGAUGGUCCCGCGGCGUAUUAGCUAGAUGGUGGGGUAACGGCUCACCAUGGCAAUGAUACGUAGCCGACCUGAGAGGGUAA
rnacentral:rRNA from 1 species